GCGCCCGUAGCUCAGUUGGCAGAGCGGUGGUGGGAAGGUACCCCACAGUCCCGGGUUCAAGUCCCGGCGGUCGCU